rnacentral:rRNA from 1 species
AAGUCGAGGGGUAACGGAAGUAGCUUGCUACUAGACGACGACCGGCGCACGGGUGAGUAACGCGUAUGUAAUCUGCCUUGUACAGAGGGAUAGCCCAGAGAAAUUUGGAUUAAUACCUCAUAGUAUUACUGGAUCGCAUGAUUUGGUAAUUAAAGCUCCGGCGGUACAAGAUGAACAUGCGUGACAUUAGCUAGUUGGUAAGGUAACGGCUUACCAAGGCUACGAUGUCUAGGGGUUCUGAGAGGAUGAUCCCCCACACUGGUACUGAGACACGGACCAGACUCCUACGGGAGGCAGCAGUGAGGAAUAUUGGUCAAUGGACGCAAGUCUGAACCAGCCAUCCCGCGUGAAGGAUGACUGCCCUAUGGGUUGUAAACUUCUUUUAUAUGCAAAUAAACCUACUUUCGUGAAAGUAGCUGAAGGUAGCAUAUGAAUAAACACCGGCUAACUCCGUGCCAGCAGCCGCGGUAAUACGGAGGGUGUAAGCGUNAUCCGGAUUUAUUGGGUUUAAAGGGUACGUAGGCGGUAAUAUAAGU